AGUGACGUCACAACACGUGUGUCGACCUGCAACAAAUGCAAGAAAUGUGUUUGUGAACAAACUGCCUAGUAAUUUCUGCAAAGAAGCUACUCACUGUUGAAAAAUUGUGUUAAACAUUCACUGAGAAAAUUUGAAAGUUGCUGAUUUGGAGAUGACUGGCAAAACUUAUCGUACAUCAUCACGAUACAAAAUUCUCUAAGCACGAUAUGGUACCGAAACGACAACGAUAGGCACUAGCAGAACCGGCACAAGGUUGUUUUACUUAAAUAAAAAUUCGAAAAAAUCAAACAAGAUUGCCAACAAAUGUACGUCAGAUCUUACCACUGAUUUCAAGGCAUCUCAUCUUCUUUCUUUC